AUUGAACGCUGGCGGCAUGCCUUACACAUGCAAGUCGAACGGCAGCACGGGGGCAACCCUGGUGGCGAGUGGCGAACGGGUGAGUAAUACAUCGGAACGUGUCCUGUAGUGGGGGAUAGCCCGGCGAAAGCCGGAUUAAUACCGCAUACGCUCUACGGAGGAAAGGGGGGGAUCUUAGGACCUCCCGCUACAGGGGCGGCCGAUGGCAGAUUAGCUAGUUGGUGGGGUAAAGGCCUACCAAGGCGACGAUCUGUAGCUGGUCUGAGAGGACGACCAGCCACGCUGGGACUGAGACACGGCCCAGACUCCUACGGGAGGCAGCAGUGGGGAAUUUUGGACAAUGGGGGCAACCCUGAUCCAGCAAUGCCGCGUGUGUGAAGAAGGCCUUCGGGUUGUAAAGCACUUUUGUCCGGAAAGAAAACGCCGUGGUUAAUACCCGUGGCGGAUGACGGUACCGGAAGAAUAAGCACCCGCUAACUAC
rnacentral:rRNA from 1 species